GGGGGUCAGGGUUGCGGCGGUUGCCAUGGGUCGAGUAUUGGUAAACAUAAUGACCGCUCACCGCUGUCAACGUUCUUUGUGCCUCUGAUUCAUGUCGUCAUGUCACUCCGCAAGUAGUCCAAUCAUUUGUCACGAUUGAAGUUCAAAGUGUACGCGCACUGUUAUGAAUGCGCACACACCCAACCGCGCCCAACCAUCUACUCACGUGAACAGCUUCAGUGAACACGGAUGAUUCAGAUAAGCAAAUCCAUAUUGUCUUUCAUUUUUAUAUGCAGGUCUAGUAAAAUUUAACCAAUCUAUUGAUCAUUUUUGUCAUGAUUCCAUAACAUUAAUGUUAAACGAUGCUGUGCUAAUUUAGCAAAGUAACGGCAAGGCUGCCAACUCUCACGCAUUCAGCUAAACUCACCCAAUUCUCACGCUCUGACGCCACACCCCCAUAUUCUCACGCAGACUCGUGCAGCAGUGAGGAAAAAAAAUCGCGCCGCAUGAUCUCGCAAAGCAACGCGCAGAGAGACCAGACAGACAGUGUACAGACUAGUGAGAUUUUGUGACAAUUGUGAGGGAAAUACACAAUGUAUUCCCAUGAACGGUGUAGUCAGCCGUUCUCCUUCCCAUCUGCACCGUGUGAAUUGUGAACGCAGGCAGCGUUUAUAAAUGGCUCCUAUUGUGUGAUGACUAAUAGUCCAGGUAGUGGCAUCCAGCUGAGUUCUAACAGUUCCUCUGCACUCUUCCUCAGGCUUAGUCUGUGGGCUGCAGGGGGCCCGCGCUGACUGACAGAGGCCCUGCCGUGAGAGGCGGAGAGCUCCUCAUGAGCCUCAGCAUGCAGCCCCUUUCCCAGGCCCGCCUUGAGGCCUCCGGCCACUCUGCAGGAGAGCCCCGCUCCGCUCUCAGACCUCAUCCACAGACCUGUGGGGCAGAAUGGAGUGAUAUACGUGCCACCCUGAACGUUGAGGAAGCUUCAUCUGGUUUCCUGUUCUUACCCUGCUGACCAUGUGGUGAGAACGCCUGGCACAGAUAUACAUGAUACAGAUGGACAUCACUUCAACCGUACUCACUUUCCUGUACAAUGUCUUGGUAAGAUGACCCAACCAGGGCAGUUGAAGUCAAUUUUAUCAAUUAACAAGUUUUUUUUUUUUUUUUUUUUUGGCGAAAAAACAUGAAUAUUUUGUAAGGGAUUACUUCACUUCAGAAUUCUUAUAAUUUACUCACCCCCAUGUCAUCCA